AAUUAUUCCCACGCUGUUGAAAUUAUUUUAAUUCUGCAUCUCAGCAGAUACGUUUCUAUGGUGGAAACAGGUGUUCAUCAAACGACAGUGAUAGACAUCGCAGUCGGGCUUGGAGCCUAGCCCACAUCAUGUUGAUGACAGAUAAAUUAGAAAAAAAAAAGUCCUGCGAAACAUCCCACACUUCAGAAGGAGAUUACACCUUUUUAAAAGGCAAACAUCAAGUUCAAUUGCUCAUUGUCUAGUAUGUGGUUCCGCAGAGAGAUGGAUCCUAAACAUCAAUAGAGCUAAACAGCCACCAGAUGGGCUGGGGAGAGGCCACUCACGAACAAUCCACCUGCACCGAAAGCAACUGGGGGAGAACUAAAGAUGCACCCCCCACCCUGCCCAAUUUGUUGUUUAAAUUAAAUAGCCAAUGUAACAAAUAUCACAAGGUUUUAGGGGUGGUCAGGGAGAAGCAAAGAACUUUUCAUCAAAACCUAUCUUUUGAGAGUUCCAACAGGGUUUUGGUUAUAACAGGAUUGGCAGGUCUUGGGGAGAGGAAUGUUCUGCACACAGGCACAGGACUCUGAAAAUGACACACCGUGUGACCUGGGGCAAAUCAGAGAAUUUCUCUGUGCCCCCUUUUCCUACAAAUCUAAGCUUCCAGAUGUGAUUGACUUUGGUUUGGCUACAAUCCGUAUACAAUCCCCACUUCAGCCAUAACUCAUAUGCUAAGUAAAUGCCACAGGGGUGACUCAGUGGGGACCAGCAUCUGGCUAUAAACCAUUUCUACAUUCAAACAUGACAUUCAACUGCUCUUCAGUUAUCUGGACGAUGGCAUGUGAGUAAGAUGAGUAGAAAGUCUGAGAGAAGAGGAGGAGGGAAUAAAUGGUAUUCUAAUCAAUUACAUCAUAUUAGUUUUGCAUCGAUUCCCCCAGAACCUUGAGGCUUGGCAUUAUCAAAACAUGUGGAGAAAUAAGUAAGUGCCCACAGUGUCUUAGCUGAGCCCAUCUCAUGGUAGGCCGUUUUGGUGGACAUUCAAGCAAAGGAGAGGAAAGGGUGCAGGAAGCAUCUUUUUUGCUAUCAUGUCCUUGCAAACACAACAGCCUUCUUCCUCUCUAGGCUGAGCUGCAGUAAGAGCCUUCUCAACCUUUAUUAGACUUGAUCUUCUGACAGCUCUGGGAGCUACAGGGCAUUAUUGUCUCUACCUCACAAAGGAGGAAACAGACGUCUGGAGAGGUGGGGUAACUUUUUCAAAGGUGGAUAAAAACUGCCAAAGCUGAAGACCGUUCUGUGAGGUCACAAGGUAAGUGGCUGUCAACUACAGGCUGUGACCAGCAAGCUGGCUGAGGUGUAGGGUGAUGUUGUGUGAAACCGGUAUACAUGCGGUCCAAAUUACAAUGUUUCAAAUUCAUGUUGAUGCAAAAGUGACCCACGUCAGCAGAGACAUGUUCAGUUCUGAUGUCUGACCCUUUCUGGUGCUGGGCAUGUGGGUGUGGGUGGUCCCAUCAGCCACUCUGUCCCUGGGGUGUAGCAGACCCCUCAGGGUGCCCUGUUGCUAGAAUGAGGGCUGGAGUGUUGAGUGCACUGUGAUGUAAGGUAUUUCCGGUUGCUUAGCACAGAACUUCCGGUGAAGUCAAGAAGCUCGGUUGGGUUGUCUCAUGAUGACUCACAGCAGGACAAUGACGAGAGCCGCCCUGUUAGCUCCGUGUUGGAUUUAAAACAGUGCUGUUCAACUCUUGGACUCAAGCCAUCUUGCCAGGUUAGACACAGAUGUCACUAUCACGUCUGGCUCAGUGUUCAUUCUCAAUCUGGUUCACAAUCGUACACGAAGCAGAGCUAAGCAUCUAACUUCUAGAGUAAAGCGGAAGGGCCGGCACUUCAUUCCUAUGUCGCCUACAGCCUGACUCAAGUGUAAUUCAGUAACUAUUAAUUGACUAUGUUAACACACAGUUUAAGAAAGCCACAGAUUGUUGAGGAUUUUGAAUGAGUUGAUCUUAGAUGAAGCUGAAGACUUCAGGUACCCCCUCAGGCUAUUUGGCCAACGGUAGCUCGAGCAGCAUUGUUUGGCUGCUCUGCACGGUCCCUGGGCAUAGCACUGACAUUUUCAGGGGUAUGGGGGAAUUAAGAUCCUCAGAAUCAGACCGGUCCUACUGAAUCAGAACUGCUGUCUGCAAGAUCUUGGAAAAUCCUUUACCAAUUAAAGUUUACGAUUCCCUGCCAACGCUUUCCAUCCAAGGAUCUCGAGCCAGCUUGGCACAUAAGAGGACAUCACCAGAAGGGCCCUAACAGUAGCUGUCUUCAAGCCUCAGGAAGAGGAAUCUCAGCUCACUUCACCACGUUUAACUUCUAGACCUGCAGUUCCUAGAGUGUGGUCCCUGAGCUGGAAGCCUGGGAAGAAAAGGUUACUUCUGACAUCCUGAACCCCAAACUCCAAGCCCAACCACCUCCCUUGGAAACCUGCUUGGCACCCUCCCUAUCAAACAAUGUGCCUAUCUCUCAGAAGAUCUUGGAAAUUCUGAAGUACAGACUGUAGUUCAGAAACCUCUGGGAGUGACACACAGGCUCAAUAUACCUCAAAGUUCUAGGUAUGUCCAACCUUUGGAUUUUGUGAUUGGAUAUCAUCAACGACAGAGUUCGCACUCAAGUUCCAAAUUCAUCUCCUAAUUCUUGUAAAAUUUGAAAAUAAGUUCACGAUUUUGUGAUGGGCCAUAUUCAUAACUAUUCUGGGCACAGCCAUCACUGGUGAAAUAGGAUCUCUCUUCAGUCCAUUCUAUCGGCAGUCAUGGGUAGAAGCUAGUGAUCUAUUCCAUGGCCAAACCUACAUGACAGCUAAGUAAUAGUUUUACACACACACACACACACACACGAGUCACUGUGCUGCAGGCGGUUGUCAGUAGGCAAUGUUCUCUGCCAGGACAUGCUCACACUGUUUAGACAUAACAGAAAUGAAUGAGGCCAUUGGAGGCGUAACUCAAUGUGCUGCUUAAUCAUUAAUGUUCUUUCUUUUUAAUUUUGUGUAUAUUCUUCAGAGUGGGUGCCUGUGUGUGUAUGUGUGUGCCAUGGUUUGUUUGUAUAGAGGCCAAAGGGCAAUCUCAGUGUGGGACGUUGCCUUCCACAUUGUUUGAGGAAGGGUUUGUGGUUCAUUGCAAGCAGGAUGUCCUGUCUCUGUCCUUCAUCUUGUACAGGAGCUGCUGGGAUUACAGAUAUGUAUACUACCAUGUUAGCUUCUUUGUGUGUUCCGGUGAUUCAAACCCAGACCUUCAAGCUUGCACACUGAGUGCCUAACCCACUGAGCUAGGUUUUUCUGUACAGAGUAGGAAUUCAUGAUGAAUUAAGAGUGAAGGUAUCAUAGGGUUGACACAGAAACCAGCAGCAUAGACACCCACUGUGAUCAAGCACAACAUACUCUGUAACUGUGUGCUCUACGGUGCUUAGCUGAAGGUGUGCGGGUCUGUGUCCUCCAACAUCAACUAGAAUCUGUGAGCGAUGUAUUGCAUCAGGAUGCUACAGUAUUGAUUAUGUCAGACAAAGCGGGGACUCUCCAGCUUCAUUGUACCCCAUGCCCUGAGCUCCUCAACAUUUCACAGUCCCGAGUCCCUGCUCUCUGGUGCCCACUUAGGGAUACUGGACCCUGAAUCCUAAUGGCCUAGAUCAGUAGUUCUCAACCUAUGGGUAACAACCCCUUUAAAG
rnacentral:sRNA from 1 species